AACCAUAGAAACCUGCGGAGUACCUGCGGAAGGAUCAUUAAAGAUUGACCGAAAGGUCUUAUCUCUAUAUCCCUCACCUCUGUGAACUGUGGACCUCCGGGUCUAUUUAACAAACAUCAGUGUAAUGAACGUAUAUAUCAUUAAACAAAACAAAACUUUCAACAAUGGAUCU
rnacentral:misc_RNA from 1 species